GACGAACGCUGGCGGCGUGCCUAAUACAUGCAAGUAGAACGCACAGUUUAUACCGUAGCUUGCUACACCAUAGACUGUGAGUUGCGAACGGGUGAGUAACGCGUAGGUAACCUGCCUGGUAGCGGGGGAUAACUAUUGGAAACGAUAGCUAAUACCGCAUAAUAUUAAUUAUUGCAUGAUAAUUAAUUGAAAGGUGCAAUUGCACCACUACCAGAUGGACCUGCGUUGUAUUAGCUAGUAGGUGAGGUAACGGCUCACCUAGGCGACGAUACAUAGCCGACUUGAGAGGGGGUUCGGCCACACUGGAACGGAAAAACGGCCCAGACUCCAACGGGAGGAGCCAGAAGGGAACUUUCGGAAAGGGAGAAAGUUCGGACCGAGAAACGCCGCGUGGGGGAGGAAGGUUUCCGGAUCGAAAAGUUCGUUUUUAAGGGAAGAACGGGUGUGAGGGGGAAAAGUUAACACGGGGACGGAAUUUAACAAAAAAGGGACGGUAACUACGUG
rnacentral:rRNA from 1 species